AGCGAACGCUGGCGGCAGGCUUAACACAUGCAAGUCGAGCGGGCACUUUCGGGUGUCAGCGGCGGACGGGUGAGUAACGCGUGGGAACGUGCCCUCUGGUUCGGAAUAACUCAGGGAAACUUGAGCUAAUACCGGAUACGCCCUUUUGGGGAAAGGCCUGCUGCCGGAGGAUCGGCCCGCGUCUGAUUAGCUAGUUGGUGAGGUAACGGCUCACCAAGGCGACGAUCAGUAGCUGGUCUGAGAGGAUGAUCAGCCACACUGGGACUGAGACACGGCCCAGACUCCUACGGGAAGCAGCAGUGGGGAAUAUUGGACAAUGGGCGCAAGCCUGAUCCAGCCAGGCCGCGUGAGUGAUGAAGGCCUUAGGGUUGUAAAGCUCUUUUAUCCGGGACGAUAAUGACGGUACCGGAGGAAUAAGCCCCGGCUAACUUCGUG
rnacentral:rRNA from 1 species